rnacentral:lncRNA from 1 species
GUUGACGAGCUAUUUCUAUAUUCCCAAUAGAACAGCAAAAGAGAAAACUGAGGUCCAUAGAAGUUAAAUCAUUUACCCAAGGUCACAGCUAACAAAUUGGUAGAGUCAGGAUUUGAACGUAAGCAGCCAAACUCUAGAGAACACAUUUUUAACAACUGAGCUAUAUUCCCUUGUUUCCUAUAAAAACAAUUAGACAUGCAAAAAUUUAUGUACAUUGAUGUUCAUCAUUACUUUCUUGAAAAUGGUGAAAACUAGAAAAACUUCAAUUUUGAAAAGUAGAGAAUUGGUUAGAUCAUUUAUAAGCUAUCCAUCUCUAUCCAUCUAUUGUAUGAAAAAAUCAGCAUCCAUUAAAAACAAUGCUGUAGAGUUAAGGUCAGCAAACUGUUUCUGCAAAAAAAACAGACAGUAACUAUUUUAGGCUUUGCCCACCCUAUGGUCUCUAUCAGAAUAUUCAACUCUGCCACUGUAGUGCAAAAGCAGCCAUGGGCAAUGUGUAAGAAUGAGUGAUGUGUGGGUGUGUUUCAAUACGUUUAUUUGCAAAAACAGGCAAUGCGAUGGCUUUGCCUUAUAGUUCAUAGCUUGCUGAUCCCUGCUGUAGAGUAACUACAUAUAAUGUUGACAUGAAAUGUUCAUGAUAUACUAAGUGAAAAGAGAAUAUUAGAAUUAAAAAAUGUAUAAUUCAAAUGUAAAUGAUUUUGGAAAUUGGAAACUUAUAGGUGUGUGCAACAGAUACUGCUGUUUGGCUACCUAAAAGUUGCUGCUAAACCUUUCCUUGUCUUCUGCUCUACAGGUUGGGAAGCCAGAUAUCCACAUUAUCUCACAUCACAUCACUGAGCUCUGUGGCCCAGUUCUGACUACAUGUUAGAAGCAGAAGUCUGCAGGGGAUGGCUUCUGAGAAAACUUGUAUUUAUUAUUUAAAUUUAACCUUCUAGCCUGGGAAUAAAUUCCAGCUUGCUUAGAACAAUACAGCACAGAAGAGAGCCUGAGUUCCUGGUGCAUCCCUGUGCCAGUGUCUCAAUCCUGCCCCACCGAUUUCCAAUUUCUUAUUAUGUGAAAAGCAACCCUCCCUUCUUUGAUUAAGUCAUUAUUGAUAGGGUUUUUUUGGUGACUUGCAUCCAAAUGCAUUCCUUAACUCAAACAAAAUAGAAGGGGAAUUCCACAUUCACACUGUUGCAUCAGACAAGCUCUGGCUUCUCAGAACUUUAGUUUUCCAUUUACUAGAGCUCAGAAUCAAAGAGACAGUAAAGAAACCCAUUUAAAAAUUGCUUGGCAUAUAUAUCUUGGGUGAUGGGACUUCAUGGGUAAUAUUUUUAAAAUUUCUUUGUGUAUUUUUCUUUUAUUGUCAAACGUUAUUAAAGAGACCAUAGAUACCUUUUGUAAUUAUAAUAAAAAACAAAAUGUUACUAAGAACAGUGAGAACUCUUAAGCUAACUACAAGAUAAUUAAUAUAUAACUGCAAAAUAUAAAAUACCAAAGCCAUUUUCAAAUAAAGAAACAGAGCCACAUGAAACUUUGCAGUUUAGCCAAAGUCAUUUCAGGAUUCUGAAGCUGGGGAGGAAGCAAGGCUUACUUAGCCCGUGGCUAGAAUUCACUUUUGAAAACUCCAUUUUUGUCCAUUCCCUCUUAUCACUACUUGCUUGCAAGUUAGGAAACAAAUUAGAACAAAAGCAUUGUUUGUCGUCAGUGGUCAAUGUUCAUUGCUUUACCAGAGGCUCGGGAUUAGAAGAUUCUCAGAACCAGUUAGCUCCUGAUACAAUCGGGCCUUGAUAUGGUUUGGAUUUGUGUCCCCACCCAAAUCUCAUGUCGAAUUAGAGGAGGGGCCUGGUGGGAGGUGAUUGGAUCAUGGGGGCAGAUUUCCCUCUUGCUGUUCUCAUGAUAGUGACUGAGUUCUCAAAGAUCUUAGGGUUUAAAACUUUUGUGGCACUUCCAUCUUCGCUCUCUCUUCCUCUCUCAUGCUGCCAUGUGAAGAAGGUGCCUGCUUCCCCUUUGCUUUCUGCCAUGAUUGUACGUUUCCUGAGGCCUCCCAGUUGUGCUUCCUGAUAAGCCUAUGGAACUGUGAGUCAAUUAAAUCUCUUUUCUAUAUAAAUAACCCAGUCUCAGGUAGUUCUUUAUAGUAGUGUACAAAUAGACUAAUACAGGCCUGAAAUAAGUUGACAUCUAAAAGCCACCUGAAUUAUUUCUGGGAAUAGACUGAGGUACUUUCUGUUUUAAAAUUCUUGGCUUUUGUUACCCAGCCAAACUGGGGCCUGCUUGCCCAGUGCAGUAAGGCCAAACAUGCACACUGAGUUUAUGCAGUGGGAGAAAAGAAGGUGUUUUAUUUGCAGAGUGCCAAGCAAGGAGAAUACAGCAGCUCACACUUAAGACUCAAACUCCCCAAUGGCUUGCAGGUAAGGGUUUUUAACAGAAGGGAUAAAUUUCAGGAAAACAAAUUAUAGGCAAAAUCAUAAAUCAAUAUAUGGAAGUUAUACAUUGGUUUGGCCUAAAAAGGCAGAAUAUCUUGAAGUGGGGUCUUACAGGUCAUAGACAGAUUCAAAGAUUUUCUGAUUUGCAAUUGGUUAAAGAAGGGAAUCUUUGUCUAAAGACUUGGAAUCAGCAGAAAAGAAUAUGAGAUCUGACUCGUGGUUGUUGCUUCCUCCACGCCCCUCAGAAAGAAACUUCGAACAACGCAUGGCAGUCAGAGUUCAGUCUACAGCCCCCCGUCAUCUGAGGUCUCCGUGCCAGUGGGUCCAUUUGGUGGGGGUCUGAGUUUCUGAAAACUCAGGGACAUAUAUUAUAACAUUAUCUUCACUUUCUCGAGGGAACCAAUGUCUCCUGAUUCUAGCUUCCUUGGCUAUUGUUUUAAGCUACUGUUACCUUCUCACUUACCAAGUUGCUCAUUUACUUCUUAGGAAUAGCUAGGUGCCUGGAAUUUCCCUUGAAGGAACUCAAGAUUUUCCUUUGAAAGCAGGGGUCCCUGCUUCAUCUCAGUUUCAUAAUAAAAGAAUCGAAGAUAACAAAUAUACACCAUGGAUACAACCUCAGUACCAAGCUUAGCAUGAAGUGGGAAUUCAAAAAUAAUAAUUAACAGUGUCAUCUAUUAAGACAAAACAUUUUGAGACAAUUAUGGAUUCACCCAUAAUUCCAGUAUGUCCUUUUUUUUUAAAGAAGUCUUUUAUAGUCGUGUUCUAUGGAGUUCUUUUCACAGCUUAAUUUUCUUCAAAUCAUUAUUAUUUCUCCUUCUUGUUUUCUUCAGUUUCAGUGCCAGUUAAAAGAAGUUGUACUCUAGCUAGUUUGAUUUUUUAAGUAGAUGCAGAGCUAAAUUUUUGCCUCAGGAUACAUUUUCCAAAUUCUCCUCCACCUCCUCAGUUUCCACCUCCUGUUAAAAGCACCUCCAUCAACCCUCACUUAGACAUUGCCUACUUGGGGGUUUUUGUCUUACCUUUGCAUUGAUCGCAUGAUUCCUGAGGACAAGGAUUCUGAGCUCUCUCAGAGGGCAAAGUACAUUGAGUUUGUUGCUUGUCUUAGGCAACAUUUUAAAGUAGGAGAAUAUAGAGCUCUCCUCUGAUGUCUGCAGCCUUCCCGGUUUUACCCCAUAAUUCUAAAACAAGAAUAGUAAAAAUCCCACCUCUCAUCCACUUGGGUCUGACUCUAUAGGACUUCUUAGGUGUUAUCCAGGUAAUUUGAUCAAUUAAUUAUAUUAAGAGGAAUCUUCUGGAAGCUGCUCCUAGAAGACUUGCCAAGCUCUCCCACAGACAAUGGCCUCCACCUUCUCCUUUUGUUAUCUAACCCCCAAGCGACUCAAGGGAUCUGAAUUUCAGAGUGAGUAGUGGUGGGGUCAGGCUGGUGGGGAACCUAUUUGAAAUGUUUGCACCGGCUUCCUGCCCAAUGGGUCGAAAGAGCUAUUUGAAUUUUGUGGCAAAAAAAAUUCUGUAUGCCUAAAAGAUGCCAGAUGGAGAAGGAAGUGGUGUGUUUAGCCACAGGAGAGAUACUGCAUGGAUAAUAGGUUCUCUACCCGCUUUUUGUCAACGUCAACAUCAGCUUGUCAGUCUGUUAGGUCGAUCAUAUGUAAGAAUAAUUCUCAGCAUUCAUCAACUGCUGAGACCUUCCCAAACCUAAUUUUAUUCUCAAGACAAACCUGUCAAUGAGGUUUUAUUGAUUGUUUCCAUCAUACACAUGGAGAAAUGGAGGCAGAGGUUUAGAGAGAAAAACAUGAGUCAGAGUGGGAAGGGAAUUAACCCAGGGGACAGUCUCUAUAGUUCUUCCCUCUGAGUUUGCUACAAAAAUAUUAUUUAUAAAUCAUUUGAAAUGGUGAUAACACUGAGCCCGCCAAUUCAAUCAAGAAACAGCCUCUAUGUUGUAGCUCCAUUUAUUUUUCACUGGCCAGAGGUAGUGCUGAGGUAACAAUUGUAAAGGUGAGAAGUCACAACUUCUAUUACGGAUAUCUAGGGAUACCUACUGAGGACGACUUGCCUGAGAGCUUAUGCUCCCAGCAUUGGUGAGAAGUGCUUUCUCCUUGCUGGCUUUGAGCCACUUCCCAGAGGAGUUCCUGCUCCUCUGUUUAGAAAUUGCAGAGUGGGUGUGGGCGUGCCAUGUUUCUUAAGUUGCCUAAGACCCAAAAGGUUAUUUUUAAAAAUGUAAAUAUACACCCAAACUCAUUGAAAUAAUGGUAAUGGGAAGAUUGAGCUGAAGACCGUGAUUGAGAAAUGCACGUUACCAUGGUAAUAACAGGGUGGGCAAGGCUAACUCUGGCCCUUCCACAUUUAUUUUAAACCAGUAGUUCUCAAAUAGUAGCGUGCAUCGGAAUACCCUAGAGGGCUUGUUAAGAAACAAGUUACCAGCCCCACCCCCAGACUUUCUAAUUUAGUAGAUCUGGAGUGGGCCUUAUAAUUUGCAUUUCUAACCAGUUCCCAGGUCUAGCCCUAGGGCCAAAUCCAUGUUUUCACCUGUUUUUGUAAGGUCUGCAAAUUAGUAAUAGUUUUUACAGAUGAACCUUUGCAAAUGAUUCCAUGAUAGGCAACACUAAUUUUGAACCCCAAUUAAGCAAAAUUCUGUCCCCCCUCACAAUUACAUUCUUUUCAUUAGUAGACCUGCAUUACACAAAAAUUGUACCCAAUAUUACAGUUUGAAUUUCAUCAAUGAAAACUUAGUGGAAUUUUGUUUUUCUCCCUUGUUAUAUAAUAACUACCCAGAUAAGAUGCUCAAUUUUGUUUCUUGGCCCACAAAGCCUAAAGUAUUUAUUCUCUAGACUGUUAAAGAAAAAAUUGCAGACCCCUGGCUUAACUGAUGCUGCUGAUGUGGGGAUGACUUUGAGAACCACGUAAGCCAUUUGCUAAGCUAAGUGUAGUAAACCCUCCUUCCACUGAUUUAAUACAAUUCCACGGGCCCAACUGUCCUGGACUAUCACACAAUGCCGAGAGAGAGGCACCACCCCUCAACCUACAAUGUUCCCCUCCAGGGAGCGAAGCUGCGGAGUCUAAAAACGUGAGGCAGUGGCUCAGCGUAGAGAAAGGAUAUUCCAAAACAUCUAAUGGGCACAACUGUAAGGGAAGUAACAUUUGUUUUGGGUGUUGUCCCACCUCUCAUUCUAAGCUGUUCCCAUCCCAGAUGCUGGGGACUCUGGGGAUUCUCUGACUCUGCAAUGUCCCCAACUCCUGCUCUCCAGUCAGACCUGCACCAUUGCAUCUGCAGCUAGCUCUGCAGUCAUGCCCCAAGUAAAUGCUGGUUAAGUAAUCUGAUUAUAAUCUUAGAAUUUAUAAGUCUGUGAUUUAUAUCAAAUAUUCAUGGUGUAUAUGACAGCUUCCUUUGUCAUAUGAUAUAGAAAUAUCUGUUACAUUAUAUAGAAAUUAGUGCACUGAAAAAAGUUUACUUUUUAAAAAAUCUUGACUAUUUUUGUCCCCACUCUUUAAUUCUGCUGUCAUUAGGAGAUUCUCAUAUUUAAAAGUGCUCAAAGCAAGGUAUUCUGUUGUAGCCUGUCUUGAAGGAGUACCACCUGUCUUCAGCCUGCUAAUGAAAAUUGGAAUUCUCUGAGGAAAGCUCUGUCAUCUAGAAUCUUCUGACCAGUGGAUGAGUCAGCUCAGGGCCUCUUCUCUGCAUCUUCCUUGGACUCGGACUGUGGGAAGCCCUGUGGAAAGCAGGAUGAUCUAACAGCAGGAUAAAGAUUGUUUUUGUUAUCAUGUCCCAUGGCUAAAAAUUACCCACUGCUUUUCCUUCUUAAACUGGGAUCCUCAACUUGGAAUCUCUGGCUAUUAAUAAAGUCUGGAGAGAGCAAUAGAGUGCAUUGGUUAGGACCUCAAGCAUCAGCAGACCUAAAUCUGAGUUAUCACUUUAUCACUAACUGUGAGAGCUUGGACACAAUGCUUGCCAUCUCUUCACACCAUCCACUCACAUGUGCAAUGGUGUAAAAAUCACAACUACUCAGAGGUAGUUGUAAGGAUGAAAAUAGAUAAUGUGCAAAGUCCGUAGAACAGUGUGUGGCAUGCAGCUUAGUGAGGGCUCCACAAAUUGUAGGUUUGGUAUUAUUUUGCAUAAGCACUCUAUUAGGCAGAAGCUGAUCGUUUAUAUAUCUGAGCUACCCACUAAACUUAUUCAUCCAUUGUCUUAUUCAUUUAUUCAUUUGAUAAACAUUUUUGAACACCUGUUGUGAGCCAAGCACCUUCCGGGAUUUGGGGAUACAGUGUGACCAAGCCAGGUGAGACCCCAGCCUCCUCAGAGCUCAUUUUGGUAGACUCUGAGCUCCUAGAGAGGGAGAUCCCAUCCCUGUAUCUCACAUAGAGCCUAGCACAGCACUAUACCCAGAAGAGAUCCUUUCAAAAUGCUGUUAAAGAAUGACUGGGUAAGUGACACGCCUAAAAAGUGGGGAGAAAAGUCAGGUGUGGUUGCUUCCCCUCUGCUGUUACUGGGACUCAGCUACCGUUAGGAGUAGCCCCUCUAAUAUACGCAGAUGGACCAAGACCGAAGCUGACCAUCCUGAGUUCUGUGCCAGGAACUCCUUCCCAGGGAGCACAGAAGGAAAGUGCUGGGCCCUGGAGAGAUGCCAGUCACUCCGACAAUGGUCUUCAUCUUAAUUGCAGUAUGUAAUUCAGCACUAGGUUCCAAGUGGCAGCCACACUGAGGUUGUUUUCCCACAUAACUCAAUGUUCUUUUCAUUGCCAUGGUAUAUGAGCAAACUGUUCAGCUGUGAGUGAGUUCAGGGGAAGGAAAUAUAAGAUUAGACUGCCAUGCGUACUGAAAGGCAGAAAAGCUUCCAUAUUAUGGAGCAAUAAAUUAAGGAAUAAUCACGAAAAUGUUACAGAUAAUUCACAUCAAUCAAGUAACUUACAGUUACUUUAUUAUUUUAGAUUAUAUUCAUGAUUAUUAUUUAAUGUGUUUUUAAUAUGAAUGUACAGCUUUAUGUAAUCCUUUUGUAAUUGAGAAGGAAUUAGAGGUCCAAGUGCUCUGAAAUACUUUCUUUUUUUCAAUUGCCCAACAUUUAGAAGACUCCUGUUUUACAGCUAAUGCCAAUUAUUCCACAUAGACAUACACUUUUUAUCUCUUUAUUGCAUGUCGGGAUAACUAAAAUCUAUCAGAUUUAAAGUUUAAGUUUUAUGGCCAAAGUCAUAUUUCUAUUUCUGCAUGAGUCUAACUAAUGCUCAUGGAUCCACAGUCCCUACCAGAGGAAUUCAUCAUUAGUCAAUCAACAAAUAUUCCUUGGGGAGCCGCCUUGUGCAAGGUAUGAGAAUGGAGCCUUGGAGCUAGAUACACAAAAAAAUCACAGAGCUUUGUCCUUGAUCUCUAGACACUUUUAGUUUUGUUUGGAAAAUAAGACAUAUAGGCAUGGGAUGACAAUUAAAAAUAUAAGGCAAUAAAUGUUGAAUGUCAAAUGAUAGCAUCAGAAACAGUUGCUGUGGAAGUCCACAGGCAACAGCAGUCUGGGGUCAUAUUUGGUUGUGGAAGCCUUGCCCACUGAAUGUUGUUUGUUUCACAAAAGGUUGCCUGAUGAAAUGGGAGAAAAGUGGGGUAAGUCAUAUUCCCUUGCUACUUGAGUGUGAUUUGAGAGCUAGCAACUUCAGCAACACCUGGGAGCCUGUUAGACCUGCAGAAUCUCAAGCACGACCCAGGACUGACUGAGUCAGAAUCUGCAUUUCAACAAGAUCCCCAGUGAUUGUGCAUUAAGGUCUCAGAAGCACUGGCCUAUCCUGCAGAUUCGUAAGUCACUUGUCUUUUUUGAAACAGCGUCUCUCUCAGUCACCCAGGCCCCAGUGCAGUGGCGUGAUCAUAGCUCACUGCAGCCUGAAACUCCGGGGCUCAAGCGAUCCUCCUGCCUCAGCCUCCAGAGUUGCAGGGAUUACAGGCAUGAGCCACCAUGCCCAGCCACUUUUCUUGUUUGAUGGAAAGUUAGACUCAUACUUGCUAAUCUCAUUCUCACUCCAAUAAAAAAUAAGGCAAUUAAAGGAAACCAUUCAUUCAACAAAACUUUGUGUACCUUCUUGUGCUAGAAACUUUGUUCCAGUCACACACUAAAUAUAUACAAGUACCCAAAGACAGUUUUGGAUAUUCAGUACUAGUGACUUCAUACUGAUGGCUCUGAGGCCUAAGGGUCAAACAGAUUUGUAAUACUCAGGGGUGUCUCCUUCAUCAACUAGCAAACCUGGGUCAUCCCCAGAAGUGGGGUAAAUUUGUUAGAAACUCCUAUGGGCCAGGCUCAGUGGCUCACACUUGUAAUCCCAGUACUUUGGGAGGCCAAAGCAGGUGGAUCAUCUGAGGUCAGGAGUUCAAGACCAGCCUGGCCAACAUGGUGAAACCCGGUCUCUACUAAAAAUACAAAAAAACCCAAAAAGAAAUAGCUGGGCGUGGUAGUGGGUGCCUGUAAUCCCAGCUACUCGGGAGGCUGAGGCAGGAGAAUCGCUUGAACCCUGGAGGCAGAGGUUGCGGUGAGCUGAAACUGCUCCAUUGCACUCCAGCCUGGGCAACAAGAGCAAACCUCCAUCUCAAACAAACAAAUCUCCUAUGGCGACAGAGUGAUGCCCAGGGAAGGUGGAACUCUGUGCCGAAACAAUGUUAGUUUUGCAUUUGGUGUCCUACUGUCCUGACUGUCUAUUCAGCAAUCUAUUUGACAUUUCAACCUCUGUGUCUAACAGGCUUCUUAAUAAUAAACAUCCAAAAGAGAAGUGUUAACUUUCUCCCGCAAAUCUGUUUUGCCCCGAUCUUCCUCUUCUUCAUAAAUGAGACUACCAUCUGCCAUGUUGAUAAGCCAAAACUUAAAACUCAUUCUGAAGUCUUCAUCUGUCCUACCCACCACAUGUAAUCCAGGAGCACUCCCUGUCCAUUCCACCUUCAGACUAGGAUGCUGGCUAUGUCCCCGUCGGGUCGUCUCCAUGGGCACUAUCGGCCGUCUUGCCUGGGGGAUUGUGCUGGCCACCUACGGGGUCUUCCUGUCUCCACCCUUGCUCGUGUCCAAGCUCAUCUCCAUACAGCAGCCAGAAUGGUCGUAGACAAAUGUCAGUCUCUCCAUGUCAUUCCUCUGCUUGAAACUUUAAUGAUUUCUUAUUUAUCUUCAAAUAAAACUGAAAUGAUCAGGCUCUGUUUGAUUGGUCCUGUUGUUUCUUCCUCUUCCCCUGUUGCCCACCAUCCUCCACCAAACUGACAUUUUAAAUUAUUCCUUCAACAUCCUCAUGUCUUUUCUGCCUCAGGAUCUUUGCAUCUGUUACUUGGAAUGGUCUAGAACUGUCUAGAGCGGUCUGCCUGACUCUUCACAUGGUUGCCUUUUGAUCUUUCAGAGCUCAGAGUAGCUGUGCUGACUUAGAGAGGCCUUCCCUGAAGUUCAUCUAGCAGGCAACCCCAGCGUUCUGAUGUACUUCGUGGCUCUGAUGCCAACUACCAAUCACAUGAAGGGCUGAGACUUCAUCUCUCUUGUUCAUUUCUAUUUCCCCAGCACACAGUGUGCUCCAUACAAAUAUGUGACUGAAUGAAAGUGUAGUUCUGGAUUUGUGUGGCUUGAUAAUGUUUUUCCUUUUUCAGUGUAAAUCUGAAAUACUUUUUAAUUCAAUUAACCAAGUUUUAGAAUAAUGCUGCUAUGCAGUUAACAGAGAUUAUUAACACAGGAAUACACAUUCUACCUCUGUAUUUCAUACAGGUAAAACAAUGAGCCAGAUGGAAUUUGAAUAUAGGUGCCUCUAGCCAGCUGAUCAUAUGGAGGACAGAGCUCAUGCCCAGCACACAGCAGUCUCUGCAGUGUAGUCAAGCUUGCCACCAGAUCCACUCAGACAGCACUGUAGCCACUUGGGUAGGGAGGAGUCUCCUCAAUGGGCCUCUCUGGGUGUAGUGGAAGUAAGAGAGCCCUCUGAGUCCCUACGCCCUGACAGGAAGUACAGAUGAAUCCUUACUUAAACAGAGAGGAGAUCACUCCACUUUCCUUAAGUGGUUUAGAUUGUUGGUUCCUUUUGAACUCUAAGGAAUUGGGCAAUGUUUUAAAAAAUUAUAAACUACCUGUUUCCAUGUCCAACACAAUACUGAAGAGUCUCAUGCUUGGUGAUUGUGGGUGUGGCAGGUAGAAUAAUUCCAAUGACAUCUGCAUCCUAAUCCCCGCCCCUGCCUCAAUCUGGAAUGGGAUCCCUUGCAAGGCAGACAUGGUGAAAGACCUGAGAUCGGGAGGUUAUCCUGGAUUCUCUGGUGGUCCUAGUGUCAUCACAAGGACUCAAUGUCAUCACAAGGGUCUCUAAAGAAGUCAGAGCAGGAGAAGUAAUGACAAAAGCAGAGUGUCAGAGUCAGAUCGAGGCUUGAAAAUGUUACACUGCUGGUUUUAAAGAUGGAAGGAAGUCAUGAGCCAAGGAAAGCUACAGUUUUCCUUGAUGACCCUCCCACCUUAGCCUCCUGAGUAGCUGGGACUACAGAUCCCAGCUCACUUGAGCCUGGGAUAUCGAGGCUGCAGUGAGCUAUGUCUGUGCCACUGCACUCUAGUCUGGGCAAAAGAGUGAGACUCACAAAAAGGAAAAAAUGACCAUUUUAUGUAGUUUUCUAGAAGAUAAUGAAGAAUCCGUCUGUGGGACUUGAUUCCUGUUUUCUUCCUGGAAAAUGGUGUGGAGUGAUAGAUGGAUGGUUUAUUGCAGUUAGAAAAAACUGCUCCUGCUUUCCUACCACCUUGUGAGCAUAGCUGUGGAAAGGGGAAUUCUCAGCAAGCGUCAGAGCUCAGUGCUUAUGAUACAGUGAGAGCUAUAGCUGACAUUUAAAUACUUUUUCAUUUUUCAUUUUAAACCACCCUGUAAGCAUUCACUAAUUAAUCCUCAUCAGGCACUGAUGUGAAAGAAUUACCUUCAAUAUUCUGCAGAUGAAAAUAGUUCAUGCAGUACUUCAGAAAGUUCACCUGAUGAUGGAAAGGAGGAAAUGUGUCUCUUGCCACACCUACUGCUGUAUUUUAAAGCAGUCGUUCUCAAGAGGGACCUGGUGCUAUCAAAAGGCACCUAUGUAACCAUACAUAUGAAUACGUCAAGUGGAUACUGCUUCCCGCUGUCCGUGCAGCAGCAUCAUCAUCACAGUGCACACUUGAUCCACAUGCUGUGUGCCACACACGUGCAUGCCCUAUACCCCCAUUACACCCUCCUCUCUCCCUUCAGAAGCUCCCACUCUAGGCCAAGCCCCAUCAUUUCUCCCCUGGGCUAAGGCAGUGAACCCCUGAUAGAUCUGCCUUCUCCCUUGCCCCCAACAGUCUCUCCUAGCAGCAGCCAGAGUGAUCUUGUAAAAACUUAAAUCAGAUCAAUGCCACUCUUCUGCUUCAAUCCUAUCAUGAUUUUUCAUUUCCCUUACAGUAAAGUUUCUUCUUCUUACCUUGACUUCUGUUAUGAACUGAUCAUUUAUGUCCCCCCAGAAUUCCUAUGUUGAAACCUAACCCCCAGUGUGAAGGUAUUAGGAGAUGGAUGGGGCCUUUGGGGGUUGAAUAGGUUGUGAGAGUGGAGCCCUCAUGAAUGGGAUUAGUGCCCUCAUAAAUAGAGUCCAGAGAUCUCCCAUGCUUCUCUUUCUGCCAUGUGAGACUACAACAAGAAGACGACAGUCUACAACCUGGAAGAAAGCCCUCACUGGAACCUGACCAUGCUGGGACCCGAUCUUAGACUCCAGCCUCCAGCACUGCCUAUACUCACCUCCAGACCUUUGCACUUGAUACUCCUCUGGUCUUCCCAUGACAGCUCCUUCACUUCUCAGCUCAGACGUCAGCUCCACAGAGAGGCCUCUCCUAACAAUCCCAUCUACAGGGACUGGGUAUCUAAUGUUUUACUGAAGCACUGUUUGCAGAAAGCCUAGCGGGCUCAGAAAACCAGCCAUGCCAUGGUGGGAAGAAAGCCUUGCUGAGAUCCUGUGGCUGAAAACCAUCAUGGGCUUUUGCUUUCAGACUGCCCAUUGCCAACCGAUGCAGGCCCAGAGAAGCAAGGAGGAGUGCUGUUCUGGGAAGGCGGUGGGCACAUAGAUGGAGCUAGACUUGCGACUUCAGGCCCUCAGCAGCCACAUGAUCUUGCAGCUGUGGGCCAUGCACCUGCUUCUUGGGCCCAUGAUUAACCAGAUGUUCAGCUCCUUAAAGACAGACUUCGGGGCCCUUGGCUGGCAGGGGAUGCAAUCUGCAGAUGAGAAGCUCUGAGAAGCAGUUCUCAAAGCCAGGAUCCAGAGGCUCAGCCAUGUGAGUUUCCUGUGAGAGGGAAAAGGCAGGAGCAUAGAGGCCACUGAAGUUGUUCUCAAAAGCCCCAAGAUACCUUUGGUCUCAGUGGAGGCAUCCAGGACACAGCUGUCUUCACUUCUUCACUCAGUCAUUUAGAAAUUGUUCAGUGAGCACCCACCCUGUAUAAUUCACUGCUGCUGCAGCUGAGCUCAACAUGGUGUCAUCUAGGGGAGGAGCUUGAAGAGGUUGUGUUAAGGAAGAACCACGAGAGGAGUGCCCAGUUGGAUGUGACCCCGGAUGUGUAGGCAUCCAGGAGGCUGAAAGAAGGCUGACCCAGGGCCUGAUCACUUGACAAUGGACAUGCUACCUCACAGAGCAUAACACCACAACUAACACAUCCUGAGCCCUCAAUCAAUGUUGUGCAAUAAAGGAAUAAACCUGGAUGUCUUUCCUGUAACCAAACAUUGGACUAUUCAUCAACUGUGCACUUUUUGUUCCCCAACGAGCACAAGGGUUUGGACUGCACCAUCCCCACUCUUUCUUGACUCUCUCUGUACACCAUAAAUGCAUGGUUCAGGGUGAUUUUGCUGGGCAAGGGUGAUGGUUUGACUAUUUGUGUCCCUCCAAAAUUCAUGUUGACACUUAAUGCCCAUUGUGGUGGUAUUAAGAGGUAGAGACUUUCGGGAAGUGAGUAAGUCACGAGGCCUCUUUAUAAAAGAAGCUUCAGGCCAGGUGCAGUGGCUUAUGCAUGUAAUCCCAGUACUUUGACAGGCUGAGAUGAGAGGAUCAUUGAGCCUAGGAUUUCAAAACUAGCCUGGGCAACAUAAUGAGACCCUAUCUCUAUUAAAAGUAAAACAUUAGCUGGGCAUGGUGCGGUGCACCUGUAGUCUCAGCUACUUUGGAAGCUGAGGCAGGAGGAUCACUUGAGCCCAGGAGGUUGAGGCUGCAGUGAGCUAUGAUUGCACCACCGCACUUCGGCCUAGGCAACAGCGUGAGACCUUGUCACACACACACACACACACACACACACACACAAUAGUUUCAGACAAUAGCCUGGCCUGGCCUUCCCAUCUCUUCUGCUGUGAAAACACAACAUGCAUCCCUUUUUGCCUCUUCAGCACAUGAGGAUAUAGCAAAAAGGCCCAGGCCCUCAACAGGCACUGAAUCUGCUGGUACCUUGAUCUUGGACUUCAGAGCCUCCAGAACCAUAAGAAAUAAAUUUCUAUUCUUUAUAAAUUACUGAAUCUGUGGCAUUUUGUUACAGCAGCACAAACAGACUAGGACAGGGAGGUUGGGAGUGCACCGUGUGAUGUGUCUUUGCAAAGUCUACCCUGUACCAAGCUGACUGGCCCUAUGGGAUUUGUUAGCAACUAGCUGGGCCAGAUCAUUAGAAAACAAUUUGAAAUGCAGAAUGAGGAAUGGUGGCAAAUUUGGCUAUUUUUCUCAGGGUUUUGUUCAGCACCAUUUGCUGCCAUGCUACCAGCAUAGUGGUUUGUGUGGCCUGUACAUCCAGAAUACCUGGGUUCAAAUCCUGCUCCCUGCCUGUGUGAUCUUGAGCAGGUGAUAUGAGCUGCCUGUGCCAAGUUCCGCAUCUGUAAAGUGAGGGUGGUAAAAGGACCUACCUCGUAGAGUUGCUAUGAGAAUGAAGUAAGUUGGCGGGUGAAAAGGUGGUGAAUAUUCGUAUUAUUGAUGUUAUUAUCACUGUAAGCAGCAGUGGCAGCAGCUGCCAAGCCUCACAUUCCAACCUGAGAAUUUCCAAGAGAAGGCAGAUGAUCUUGUAAAACUCCAGGAAGUCACAUCUCUGAUUUCCAGCCCUCCUGUCUACAGAGCCAAACCUUUCCGCAGAACUCUCCCUGCUACCAUAAAAUGCUGCCUCCACAGAGGGAACCCUCCCCAGGCACAAGGCAGAUGGUUGCUCCGUUCCAUGUGGCCCCUCACUGCAGUGCAGUGAUGAUGUUUGGGCUGAGCAAAAGACUUCAGUGCUCAGAGGAGAAGGAGCAGGAGGCUUUGCCAGCUUCCAUUUGCAUGAGAAAAGAACUGAGAGGAGAGGGGAGAAGGGGGAAGAUGCUUGCUUCCUCCUUCCAUCUUGGCAUUCACAGAGCAGGCUGCAUUUGAACACUGCCGUGCUAUGUACAUUGGAUCCAUGCAAUGUUACAUAAGUAUUUCAUAAGGGACAAGGUGACUUUGUGUUUUUUUCACCUGUUCUUCUCCUCUGAUCCCAGAAGCUGGGAAGUAGGCUGGAUGCAGAGAAAAGAGCAUUGUUCUCAAGUCUGCUUCACUGCUUAAAGACUAAGAAGGAAAAAAAAUAGAAAGGAAAACAAGAAUCAUUGUCUCUUUUGUUUUCUCUUUAAAAUAUAAAAGGAACUCUGAAACCAAAGUUCGGAUGACAUCGUAUGACAUUUUCCUUUCCACAUGGAAAAAUUUUGAAUAAAAGAUCUGUUUUCUGGGUUGACACUUCUGGGCUCUUUCAAUCUCCAGUAGCAGCAAACUGCUGUCAUUUCUGGAAAUAAGGAUGGCAAGACUCAGGGGGUUAAUCUGCCUGAUUUUGCUCUCCAAGGGUGACAGCGUAAAGCUCUUUGGCUCUGCAUCCACAGUAAUAGCUGAGGGCAGCGCUGCCCAACAGAACUUUCUGUGGUGAUGGAAGCCUUCUCUAAUCUGUGCUGCACAUCUGGCAGCCACGAGCCACACGUGGCUAUUGAGCGCUGGAAGUGGGGCUGCUGUGACUGUGGAACUGAGUUAACUUCACUGUUAAUUUAAAUUUAAAUGGCCACGUGUGGUCUGUGGCUACAGUAUUGGCAGGUGCAUGAGAGCAAUAGCAAAACAAACUGUAAGUAGCAUCCACAGAUGUUGACUGAAUGCAUCACACAGAUAAGAUGGAAAAGGAAGAGCCUAAAAGUUCUGAAGAGUGAUGUUCCCCUUCCACAGGAGCAGUUUAUGUGUCAGUGGCAAUGAUGUUUUAUGAAUAUUUGGGAUGACCAUUUUCUGUUUCAUCUUUCAGCUGUGGGAGUAGCAGUCUACUUUAUUUCUUUUCAAUUUUUUUUUAGAGAUGGAGUCUUGCUAUGUUGCCCAGGGUGAUCUUGAACUCCUGGCCUCACAUGAUCCUCCUGCCUCAACCUCCCAAAGUGUUGGGAUUACAGGCAUGAACCACCAUGCCUAGCUCAGUCUACUUUUUUUAAAAGAGGAAUGAGAUCAAGAUCACAUUUCAAAAAAUAUGUUGUCUCCUAAAGUAAGUAAUAUUUCUACCUGGAAGCUCUUCCUUCAAGUCUAAAGUCAAAGGGAAAGACAAUAAUUUCUUCUAGGCUUUUGAGGUGAUGAUCAUGGGGUUUGCUUAGAUGUCAGAUCCACGAGUCACCCUAAAGCCUGAAGAGACAGAGUAGAUGGGAGCUGGUGUUGGGUGAACACUGGACUGGUCCCAGGGCUGCGGUUCUUGAUCAGUGUAAUGCAGGAAGGAGUCGCCAAUGUGGCCACGCUCCUGGUAGGGGUUCUUUGUAGGUACUAGAGGCUCAGUAGCUGUCCUGAGUCAAAAGACCAAAGAAAAAGGGAAGCCUCAAGGAGAGAUGAGAGGACAGCAGAUGAAAAUGAGCCUGCAGGAAACCAAGCUCUGAGGAGAAAUGGGCAGGCAGCCAAGAGCAGGGCAGAAACUGCAGCAGUAGCAGCGGCAGCAAUGAAGUCUCCAAGUUAUGAGUGGCAGGCUCUGAGAACAAUGAUGGAGCAGGAAGUUAAUGCAGAGGGCAGGCAGAGAGCCCCUGAGACGAUAAGCAAGAUGAGUGGAGAAAACCGACAGGACUUAGACCUGGGCAUGGGCAGCAGAGGACCUUAUCCCAGCAGCAGAGGGACUGGCAGUUAAUGACGAUGCUCGAACAUCUGCUAUACGUUGGGAAUUUUGCACGCAUUUAAUAUUUUGCAUGCAGAUAAUAUUAUUCCCAUUUUAUGAAUGAAUGAGCCCAGACUUAAAGUGCUGGAGGGAUUUAAUAUUCUCCUGGAUCUAUCUGCCUUGCUGGCUACUCCUUCAGGCUUCCUUUUGAGUUCAUUCUUCUCUUACCACGUCUGUAAAUGUUAGAAUUUUUUAAGGAAUGUUACACAGUUGAGUCGUCUUCUCUUCUCACCCCCUACUUACUCAGCACAGUAUAAACCACUCUCUGGGAACUCCAGAAUUUUGUCUCUAUCUGGAAUCUCCCCUAGGAAUGGCAAAAUUAACCUAAAGAAUGUACAAGGAAGGAAAAAAUAGACAUAAACCUAGGUAUUUUUAUUUUGUUAAUUAGAAAAGUAGAAAGAACAGAUAAUGAUUCCAAGAGUUGCUUUUCAUUUAACCAAUAAAAUAACAAACCCUUAACUGACCCAAUAAAGAAAAUGGGAGCAGUCACAAAAUUAGGAAUGAGAAAAUAUUUCAAGAGACCACUCUGCUCAAUGCUAUGUUGAAACUUUUGAAAACCUAAAUACCAAUUAAAUUUUUCCAGUAAAAUAUUUAUGACCAAGGUUUACUCUACAAGAGAGUCUACUACUAGAGUUGCCAGAAUUAGUAUACAGAAAUUUGAAUUUUAGAUAAAUAAUUUUUUAGUAUGUCUUACGCAACAGUUAGGACAUACUUUUACUAAAAAAAAAAAAAAGUCAUUGGUUGUUAUUCUGAAAUUCAAAUUUAAUUGGAAAUCCUGCAUUUUAACUGGCCGAUCUAUUAAAACAGAUAAAUUAUUGUGGAGAAACAAUAGGAACUUGUCAAAAGCUUUAAAAACAUCAAGAUCAGAAGUUUCAGGUAAAGCGUAUGAAUUAAAUUCAAGCAAUAUUUUCAACUCUAUUUAAAUGAUUCCAAAGCAUAAAAAAACAGCUUCUAAGACAUUUUUAUAAAGCUACAAAGACUGAAGUCAAACCUGACAAGGAGAGUUAAAAAAUGUGGGCAAAACAGUGGUGAAUAUUCAUGAUAAAAUCUUACUGUGAUAUUCACAAACAUGGGGGAAUGAUAUUUUCUUUAAAAUCGACAGACUUUUUAGAGAAAAAAGGCAGUUGAAGAAAUUAUCAACAGUGAUUUUACCAAGUUCUUUGUAUUUUUUCUCAGUCUUAACAUGCCUAUAUAUAUUAUGUACAUAAUUCUUAGCUGUAAGUCAUUUUUAUAAUAGAUGCUAUUUUCUGCAAGCCUCUCAAAUUAAAACCCAUUGUUCUGAAAGUACUAAUCAAUGCAAUUACAUAAGGGAAAAAAUGAGACAUAAAUACUUCAACCACGGAGGCAAAAUUAUUACUGUUUUCAAACAAUGUAGUUAUUUACCUAGAAACUGCAAAAGAAUCAAUUGGAGGAAUUCUGUUACCAGCAGAAGAUAGUUCAGUUAGGUGGAUUGGUUUCACAAUGAAUAUCCACAUUCAGUGGCAUUUCAGUAAACAAAUAGUAUUCAGCUAUAAAAUAUAAUGGAGCAAAUUAUCUCAUUUAUAAUAGCAUAAAAAAGAUAAUGUGCCUAGACAUAAAUUUAAUUAAAAAUAUAGGCUAGGUAUGUUGGCUCAUGCCCAUAAUCUCAAGACUUUGGAGGGCUGGAGGAUCCCUUGAACCCAAGAGUUUGAGACCGUGAGACCCCAACUCUACAAAAAAAUAAAAUUAGCUCGGCAUGGUGUGCAUGCCUGUCAUCUCAGCUAUUGUGGAGUCUGAGGCAGGAGGAUUGUUUGAGCCCAGGAGUUUGAGGCUGUAGAGAUCUGAUUGUGCCACUGCACUCCAGCCUGGGUGACAGAGUGAGACCCUAUCUCUAAAAAUAAAUGGGGGGCUAUUAAAUAAAACAACAACGUGUAACACUUCUUGAAGGACAAAAAAAAAAUAAAAAUAAAUAAGUAGAAAGACCUGUCAAAGACCUAUCAUAUUCUUGGGUAGGAAGAUUCAAUACUGUAAAUGCAUAAGUUUACCCUAAAUUAAAUCCAUAGAUCCAAUUUAAUCCUCAUCAAAAUGCCAACAGGCACUUUUAUAUCUUGAUAAAGUAUUAAAGUUACUUGGAAACAUAAGUUUGAGGAAACUCCAUAGACUCCCGUAUGCAAUAAUCCAUUAAUAACCCAGUAAUAUUGGGGAGGAUACACAAGAAGCUGUUUAUAAUAUUCACCUCUUAGCAGUGGAAGUGAGGGGUAAAGACUUGAGCCAAAGAUGUAUUUUCAUGUUAUACUCAUCUAUGCUAUUUGAAUUUUUCCACAGGUGCAAAUAUUACUUAUAUGAUUAAAAAUAGUUAUUUUAAAAGAACAUUUCCAUUAUAUUGAGUACUGAUUUGUAACCCUCUCUGCUCAUUAGAAUCAUAUAGGGAGCUUUGGAAAGACACCAGGUCUCAGCACUUGCCUCCAGAUUCUAAUUCAAUUUGGCUGUGUUAGGGCCCAGGCAAUGGCAUUUUUUACAAAAGUUCUCACUGAUUCUGAUGUGGAGCCAGGGCCGAGAGCCACCACUGUCAAGUAACCCAUGGCAGCAUUUUCCAACUUUUGGUCACAACCCUUCGGUUAGGAAAUCAACUUAAUGGCUUGGGACCAGAGUUAAAAACAAACAAACAACAACAACUGAAACCAACUCAAUUGAGCAGAAACUUGUGCAUGCCUGUUGUGUUUAAGACAUGUCUCUUUCUGGGGGAUGUCAUCCAAAACAUUGGAAAACCCCUACCUUAAGUGGUUCAGAUCUUUCAGACUUUCUGAGACAUUUUAUCAGAAUUUGUGUGAACUAUUAAAGGCUUUUUACUGUUUAAAAGUUAUAUUGUAAUUCUGACUUUUGUUCACGUAUUUGAUGAUUCAAUUAUUUAUUCAUUACAUAGUCAAAGGUAGAAAAUUACAUGUAAUUACUUGUGCUUAUCUGAUAAGCAUAGUGACUGAUGUAUGUAAAUGCUCAAUAUGUGAUGG